rnacentral:lncRNA from 1 species
CCUGGGAGUAACAGUAAGGACUUACAUUCCCAAUUUGUUAACAUCUGACAGGGAUUUAAUCACAGCUAUGAUUCUUUUAUUUAAUGCUCCAACAGAAUUUAUGUGUUUUCCAAAGAACAUUUUCAUGGUCCUUCGUCUUAUCUCCUGCAAUUUAACUCCAUAGACGAUGGGAUUUAAAAGAGGAGGCAACAGAACAAAAUUUAUUGACAUCAUAGUACGAACCACAUGGGGCAUAUUACUGAGGUCAAAACGAUGUUGAAGAAUUUCAAAAAAUGUGGCGACGCUGUAGUUUGUGAAGCUCAGUAAAUGAGGGGUACAGGUCUGUAGAGCUUUAGCACGAGCUUCCUUUGUAGAUUUCAGACACACUGCCAGGAUUCUGACAUAAGAGUAGAUGAUGACAGCGAAUGGAAAACACAUCACAGUAACGGUCACGACAUAACCAAAGGAACUGUUUACAGACACAUCUGAGCAUGACAGCCUGACAACUGACCAGUUAUCACA